UACGUAGGGGGCAAGCGUUGUCCGGAAUCAUUGGGCGUAAAGAGCUCGUAGGCGGUCUGUUACGUCUGCUGUGAAAACCCGGGGCUUAACCCUGGGCUUGCAGUGGAUACGGGCAGACUAGAGGCAGGUAGGGGAGAAUGGAAUUCCCGGUGUAGCGGUGAAAUGCGCAGAUAUCGGGAGGAACACCGGUGGCGAAGGCGGUUCUCUGGGCCUGACCUGACGCUGAGGAGCGAAAGCGUGGGGAGCGAACAGG
rnacentral:rRNA from 1 species